CAAGAUUCAACUUUCUAUUGACUUUUAUCGUUUUUAAAUUGACCAAAGAUAUUUUCUGUCCUCUAACCUUAAACAUAACAUUCACAACCACAUAAAACUUUUAGCAUUUUAUAGAAUAUAUUUAUAAUGGUAUUUAGUAUGCUUACUAAGCCAUUGAUCUUGUUGCCUGACCCACAUUGGCUUUAGGUGAUUUCAGGUUGUGCAAUUUUUCUGGGGAAAUUUGAUCCUGACAGUGAAGGAAAAAUAACUGACCCCCACUAUUUGAAAUGUGACAACACUGAAUUUUACAUUCAGUGUAUCUUAAAGGGUUAGUUCACCCAAAAAUGAAAAUUCUGACUAGACCCUCAUGUCUUCGUUGACCUUCGUCUUCAUCUUCAGAACACAAAUUAAGAUAUUUUUGAUAAAAAAUACACUGUUGGCUCAGUGAGGCCUCCAUUGACAGCAUGAUAAUUAACUCUUCCAGAUGCUUGAAAGCUACUGUGGCAUUCUGCUAUCAAAAGCUUAGCACAAUUAAGCCAAUUAUGGCAACAACUAGACUACGCCACCCCAGAAAUUGGCCGGGGACCCACAGGUACACGAAGUACCACAAGCACACAGAUACGUAGUGGCUGAGACAGGUAUCAGACGACAAUGUAAUGUUUCACACAAUUUUAUUUAAUAAACAUCCAAGAAAAUACAAGACCAGUCUCUUUAAUGCAUAAAAAUUAAAAAAGAGUACAAUAACUCAUAAAACUUCUUGCACAUCCAUACAAACAUGAUUUUACCACUUCAGAACUGGGGAAUUCGUCUUGCCUAUCGGAUAAACACAGCAACCACUCGUGCUCUCACAACACAGCACCAAAACCCCUGUUGUGAACACUGCAGACGACAGCCGAACCAACACCACACGCAAAGGACACCGGCUAGUACUUGUACCCCAAUUCUGAAGGGAACAAGAAAACAGGAUGAGACAAGCACACACACACACUUUCCACGUUAUGGUUUGGCCAGAAACACUUAUCACAUGCGGUCAGAGGAAUCAAUGUCACCAAACAAUGGUGACCGUCUUAGCUGGUGUUCUUUGGCUGUUGAGAGCACGAAAUCAUCCCUUGUGUAUUCUUGUCUUGUCUUUGGUACAACUACCCGAAAAAAACCUAAUUACAGUAACGUGAGUGGAAAGAAAACAAUUGCCUACCCUACACUCUCAGAAAAAAAGGUACAAAAUCUGUCACAUGGGCGGUACCUUUUCAAAAGGUACACAUUUGUUCAUUUUAGCUACUAAUAUACACACUUUAAGUACUAAUAUGUACCUUUAAGGUACAAAAGUGUACCUUUUGAAAAUUGCAUUUAUUUUUUUAUAAAAUAAAUAAAAUGUACAAUGAUCACAAAGUGCUAUCAUUUCCCACAUUUAGACAAAAAACAAAAAGACAUAACAUUAUAAGCACUGACAGGUGAAGUGAAUAACACUGAUUAUCUCUGUUAGGGUGGAUAUAUUAGGCAGCAAGUGAACAUUUUGUCCUCAAAGUUGAUGUGUUAAGCUGCGUUUACACUUGGCAUUAAUAUGCGAUCACCGUGAUCCGAUCAAGCAGAUCAGAUCAUUAGCUAAUCAGGACACGGCGCGUUUAUAUUUGUUCACAUUAAGUGGCCUCUGUAUCUGGAUAACUGAUCGGAUUUCUGUUUCCCGCUCAAUAUUUAAAUUAGGCGCGUUUGAAAGGCAGACGCUUCAAAUGGCUUCAUAGCGUAAAACAACUUUCACUUUAGCCUCUAUCAAUGCAGCGCACACAGCAUGGAAUUUUUGUGAUUUAUUCCACAAAAGCACAAUCGAUCACAAAUAGAGAACUUAAUCUACCAAUUUAAGUUUCCCAACAUUAAUCUUGUAUGGUAAAAAAAAAAUAUUUCGACGCAUUUCAUGAUUGAAAGGAUCGCGUUUACAUUACACUGAGAUCCGACCACAAUGCGUCCUCGACUACCUCCGAACCAGGACACGUUGAUCACAAACACGUUUACACUUGUCUUUCCAAUGCGUAUGUGGAUAACAUCCAGAUACAGGUCGCAUGUUAAUGCCAAGUGUAAACGCAGCCUUAGAAGCAGGAAAAAUGGACAAGCGUCAGAGCAUCUCCAAAACUGCAGCUCUUGUGGGGUGUUCAAGAAGUUAAUGCUGGUUCUGAUAGAAAUGUGUCAGAAUACACAGUGCAUCUCAGUUUGUUGCACAUGGGGCUGCAUAGCCGCAGACCAGUCAGGGUGCCCGUGCUGACCCCUGUCCACCGCCGAAAGCACCAACAGUGGGCAUGUGAUUCAUCAGACCAGACCACCUUCUUCCAUUGCUCCGUGGUCCAGUUCUGAUGCUCACGUGUCCACUGUUGGAGCUCUGCAUUGUUGCAGACCAUGUACAUCCUUUCAUGGAAACGGUAUUCCCUGGUGGCUGUGGCCUCUUUCAGCAGGAUAAUGCUCCGGCCACAAAGCAAAAAUAGUUCAGGAAUGUUUUGAGGAGCACAACAACGAGUUUGAGGUGUUGACUUGACCUCCAAAUUCACCAGAUCUCAAUCCAAUCGAGCAUCUGUGGAAUAUGUUGAACAAACAAGUCCGAUCCAUGGAGGCUCCACCUCGCAACUUAGAGGGCUUAAAGGAUCUGCUGCUAACAUCUUGGUGCCAGAUACCACAGCACACCUUCAGGGCUCUAGUGGAGUCCAUGCCUCGACGGGUCAGGGCUGUUUUAGCAGCAAAAGGGGGACCAACACAAUAUUAGGUGGUCAUAAUGUUAUGCCUGAUCGGUGUAUAUUUAACGGUGUAAUUUCUAUACCGUUUACACACAGCUGGUGACUCUGAAUGAGGCAGUGAAAGACAGACCAUUUGGCAAGAUCUUCAAACCCUUCUGUACCAGAUGCCCAAACGCAGGUGUGGAUUUUGUGGUGAAGUUUCCGAGGAACCUGGAAGUUAAAAUGAAAGCUACUCUACUGGGGGCCUGCAUUCUCAUUGACUGUUUGUAUUAUGAAAAGAUACAAAUACCAUUUCUACUGCGGAGAUGUAUUCAGAUACCUACUCCAGAAUGAAGACAGAAGAAAGACAAAUGUCUGAUGACUACUUGCCAAAUUAUCCUCCAAUGAAGGCUGAAGAGAAAAGAAUCAUAGACCAGAAUAUGGCCACAAAUUGCUUUUUUAAUAUUGCAUCUCUUGCAAAAAAAAAAAAAAAAAAAAAUUCACAUGGCAAAUGCUGUCAAAGUAGCUAACAAUAUACUAUCUCUUUUUAUCUCUUGUUAUUUGACAAAAUACAAAAUACACAUUAUCAUAUUUAGUUUCUGCCUAUAAUUGCACAUUGAUUGAAAAAUGUGUUACAGAAGCAAUAAUUUCUUCAGUUUUAUGAUUUACAGUUGUGUGGUUUUCUGUAGUUUCAGUAAAAGUGAAUAUAAACUAACAACCUCAAUGUUUUGCCUGAUAAGGACAAAUGGUUGAUCAUAAAACAUUCAGUAGAGAAUUAUAAAUACGUAGCUUGCUGUUUAUGAGUAAGAACUGUUUGUAAACAUGCACAAUUUUAUCCAAUAAAACAUUGAUUCGUUUGUCAAGGGCUUGUGUUCAUGUAACCCACAACUAAUUCAUUUGUUUGUUCGUUCAUUCACUCAUUCAAAAGGACAAUACAAAUAAUCUAUACAACUAUAAACUGUUUUUGUCUUGCUGUAACAUGUCUGUCAACAACUGUA